rnacentral:tRNA from 1 species
AGGAGCUUAGCCAAGCGGUAAGGCACGGGACUUUGACUCCCGCACUCGGUGGUUCGAUCCCACCAGCUCCUGCCA